GACGAACGCUGGCGGCGUGCUUAACACAUGCAAGUCGAACGGAAAGGCCCUGCUUUUGUGGGGUGCUCGAGUGGCGAACGGGUGAGUAACACGUGAGUAACCUGCCCUUGACUUUGGGAUAACUUCAGGAAACUGGGGCUAAUACCGGAUAGGAGCUCCUGCUGCAUGGUGGGGGUUGGAAAGUUUCGGCGGUUGGGGAUGGACUCGCGGCUUAUGAGCUUGUUGGUGGGGUAGUGGAUUACCAAGGCUUUGACGGGUAGCCGGCCUGGGAGGGUGACCGGCCACAUUGGGACAGGGAUGGGGCCCAGACUCAAACGGGAGGCAGCAGUGGGGAAUAUAGCAAACUGGGCGGAGGCAUGGUGCAGCAACGCCGCGUGCGGAAUGACGGCCUUCGGGUUGUAAACCGCUUUCGCCUGUGACGAAGCGUGAAUGACGGUAAUGGGUAAAGAAGCACCGGCUAACUACGU
rnacentral:rRNA from 1 species